UGUCUCGGCCAUAGUCUUCCGGGUUCCACUCGGUCUCAUUCCGAACCCGAAAGUGAAAACGGAAGACGCUAUGAGGAGUACUGGGGUCCGAGAGGCCCUGGGAAACUCUAGUGCUGAGACAG
rnacentral:rRNA from 1 species